AUCCCUUAAGUAGAAAAUACGCUUGAGUUUCAAUCAAGAAAAUCAUUUAAAGAAAGGGAAA
rnacentral:tRNA from 1 species